GACGAACGCUGGCGGCGUGCUUAACACAUGCAAGUCGAACGGAAAGGCCUGCUUUCCCUUGUGGAUUGCGGGUACUCGAGUGGCGAACGGGUGAGUAACACGUGAGUGAUCUGCCCCCAACUUGGGGAUAAGCCUGGGAAACUGGGUCUAAUUCCCGAUAGGACUGCAGGGUGGUGCCUGUGGUGGGAAACGAUUUUCUAGUGGUUGGGGAUGAGCUCGCGGCCUAUCAGGUUGUUGGUGGGGUAAUGGCCUACCAAGGCGGCGACGGGUAGCCGGCCUGGGAGGGGCGACGCCGAGAGUGAGACAGGGCCCCGACCCAGACUGCAGGGGGAGGCAGCGGAGGGGAGGCAUGGGAAGUGGGUGGGAGCGAGAUGCGCCGAGGGAGGGAGGGGGAUGACGGGCUCGGGGUUGUAAGUUCCUUUAGAAGGAGAGGAAGCCAAGUGGUUGGAAGGGUGGUGACGGUAGCGAUAGAGAAAGCCCCGGCUAACUACGUG
rnacentral:rRNA from 1 species